UACGAAGGGUGCAAGCGUUACUCGGAAUUACUGGGCGUAAAGCGUGCGUAGGCGGUUUGUUAAGUCCGCUGUGAAAUCCCCGGGCUCAACCUGGGAACUGCAUUUGUGACUGUAGAGCUGGAGUGCGGCAGAGGGGGAUGGAAUUCCGCGUGUAGCAGUGAAAUGCGUAGAUAUGCGGAGGAACACCGAUGGCGAAGGCAAUCCCCUGGGCCUGCACUGACGCUCAUGCACGAAAGCGUGGGGAGCAAACAGG
rnacentral:rRNA from 1 species